rnacentral:rRNA from 1 species
GAAACUGGGGCUAAUAUCUGAUAGGUGAGGAUGCCUGAAUGUUUUAUCAUUCAACGGGCUUUAGGAACAUGCUUCUAAAGUCGCUUGGGGAUGGGGCCGCGACCGAUCAGGUUGUUGGUGAGGUAAUGGCUCACCAAGCCUAUAACCGGUACGGGCCGUGAGAGCGGUAGCCCGGAGAUGGGUUCUGAGACAAGGACCCAGGCCCUACGGGGCGCAGCAGUCGCGAAAACUCUUCAAUGCAAGAAAGUGUGACGGGGCUACCCCGAGUGCCCUCCGCUGAGGAUGGCCUUUCCUUGGUAUAACCAUCCAGGGGAAUAAGGAGAGGGCAAGACUGGUGUCAGCCGUCGCGGUAAUACCAGCUCUCCGAGUGGUAGGGAUGAUUAUUGGGCUUAAAGCGUCAGUAGCCGGCUUAGCAAGUCUCCUGUUAAUUUCGGCGACCUAAUCGUUGAGCCGCGGGAGAUACUACUAGGCUAGGAGGCGGGAGAGGUCGACGGUACUUCUGGGGUAGGGGUGAAAUCCUAUAAUCCCAGGAGGACCACUAGUGGCGAAGGUUGUUGACUAGAACGCGCUCGACGGUGAGGGACGAAGGCUGGGGGAGCAAACCGAAUUAGAUACCCGGGUAGUCCCAGCCGUAAACGAUGCGGGCUAGGUGUUGGGGUGGCUACGUGCCACUUCAGUGCCGCAGGGAAACCAUUAAGCCCGCCGCCUGGGGAGUACGGCCGCAAGGCUGAAACUUAAAGGAAUUGGCGGGGGAGCACCACAAGGCGUGAAGCCUGCGGUUCAAUUGGAUUCAACGCCGGGAAUCACUAGUGAAU